GUAUCAGCAGCAUUAAAACGCCAAACUCAAAGUGGCAAUGGCAGACGUUUGGUUAGGGAGAGGACACAAAUUUGUAUUUUAUAUAUUUGAAAACAAAUCUGGGAUUUUGUCCGCAUCUAAACCAGUGGAUAAACGUAGAAUCUACAGCAUCUUGACCAGCAGAUGUCACCAGUGUGUAGCUCUCCAACAAUGAUCCAAUCAAUUCCAGAGGACCAAGUCCAGUCCCGCCCUACAUUUUUUCCUCAUUCCAGAAGCCAUUUCACUCGGAUGUCACAAUGGGUAAGAAAAGACUAUUGCAACUUCUGUUUUAUGUCUUUAAAACACAUAGAUAAACAUUAAAUCCCAUUACACUACAAGUGUGCAUGGGGCUCCCUGGAGCUGAGCGUGUGGCUGCCUGUGCCUGGCUCAGAUGUUUGACAACAUGACACCUGAUAACAUUCUCCACAACGUGUGCAGUUUGUUUUAAGUAGGCAACAAAUUCUGCAGAUGACAGUUCAGUGACAGACUCAUAAUGUCACUUUACAACCCAUAAACAAACAAAACAGACGUUGUGAUAAAGUGCAGGAAUCAAAGAAAACAAACAACAGGGACGUGUGGACAGACAUUGACUGUAAUGAUGGACAUCUGCUCAGGCACAGAUCUCAAUCCAAUCGAGCAUCUGUGGGACGUUCUGAACAAACAUGUCUGAUCCAUGGA